UGUUUUGCUUGAUAAAAUGGUGGUUGAUGAGUAUUUUUCUCUUUUAAAUAUUAAAAUACAACAUACUGUUUUCUGUUUUCAAAGACUUAAAUUGGAAACAACGAAACAGAUGCUUUCAAUGUUUCCUGUACAAAUGUAUGAAAACAGAAAUCAAGGUAUAACGGUAUUUGUUAUUACAAUUGAAUACAAGAAAUGAACACACUGGUUUUGAAACCAAAUAGGCAGUUAGUUUUACUUUCCAGGAUUUUUGUCAGCACACUCUCACUUCUGUUGCCCCUUUCUUUUGGCUUUGAUUUUUUUCCCUUUCCAAUAAUAACAAUUAACAAUAUUAUUCAUCUAGUAAAUGUUUUUUGUUGGAUUAUAACAAGUUUUCUUCUUUA
rnacentral:lncRNA from 1 species